UGGCUAGAUAGCUCAGCUGGUAGAGCAGAGGACUGAAGAUCCUUGUGUCGUCGGUUCGAUCCCGGCUCUGGCCAUCC
rnacentral:tRNA from 33 species